rnacentral:rRNA from 1 species
UACGUAGGGGGCAAGCGUUGUCCGGAUUUAUUGGGCGUAAAGAGCGUGUAGGCGGCCAUGCAGGUCCGCUGUGAAAACUGGAGGCUUAACCUCCAGACGUCGGUGGAAACCGCAUGGCUAGAGUCCGGAAGAGGAGAGUGGAAUUCCGUGUGAGCGGUGAAAUGCGCAGAUAUCAGGAAGAACACCCGUGGCUAAGGCGGCUCUCUGGAACGCAACUGACGCUGAGACGCGAAAGCGUGGGGAGCAAACAGG